UAGACACCACAUGCUCACUAUAUCAAAGAGAGAUUUAAACAGUACAACACCUAUUUUUAGAAUGUGAACUGACAGCAACUAUAUGGCAGCAGCUUCUAAAAUGGCAAGGAGUCCAAAGAUCAAAGCUAGAUUGGAGGGAAGAGCUGGCGUGGAUAGAAAGAAGAGCUAAAGAUAAAAGUGGGGAGCCGAACUAUGCCGAAUGACCUUAGCAGCAGCAAUAUAUCUUAUUUGGCAGGAGAGGAAUAAUGUCUUUUUCCAGCAGAAGAGUAGACCAACAAAAGCCCUAAUAAGAUCAAUCAUUUAGGAAAUUCAUGUCAGAGCUACCAUGUUUCCUAGGCUAGAAAGAACUUUGAAUACUUUGAAUUGGUAUCCUGAAAUAACAUAACAAUUCCAAAAAUAGAAAAGGGAAAGAGUAGGAAGGGUAGGUAAAUCCUAACCGGGUCUAUAUGCCUAGCGGGAGUAAAGAGAGCAAGAAAGCUCAGUUUUGUCUAGGCUGUAAAUAUUUACACUUGGUAAAUAAAAUCAUUUUCAAAAAGAAUUAAAAUUCAUUAUUCAAAUCGUCAUUCACCUAUUAAAAAUUAUUUAGUAAAGCUAUGUUUCUCUUUUAACAUAAAAGUCACUUAAUUAUAAUUAUAGCACUCGAUAAGUUACUCAAUCAGAUUUCUCAAACUUUUUUGUGCCAUCUAUUUUUAAAGUUUUCUCUUUUUUUUUUACUUUUUAAUAUUACAUUUUUAUUCUCUUUAUCUAUAUUAUAAAACUUAUAUAUAGAAAGAAUAAAUUUUAUUUAUAAAGUAAAGAGUAUAAAAUAAUUUUUUAACAUAUAUAAUAUGAUAAUAAUUUAAUAAUUCUCUAUUAUUGCUAUUUGUAGGUUAAACAAUAUAACGAUAUCUUUCAACAACAACAAUAAUAACAACUCAGUAUAAUCUCAUUUAGCGAUGUUUGAAAAGAAUAGUGUGUACGCAAAUCUUAUUCUUAUCCUUAGAUAGAAAGACAAUUUUCAAAUAAACCCCGAUAUCCUUCCCUUCAAAAACUUCCCACUUUGCUUUUAGGAAGAUUCAAACUCCCAACCUCUCGGUUGAAAGUGGGAGUUGCUUACCAUCAGAGCAAGUUUUCAUCUUUUAAUUUUUAUUUGGAAUGAGAACAAAUAUGCAGUGGCUUGCUCACAGCAACCUACAAAACAGCACCUGUAACAUGAAAAAUGAAGUGUUUCACCAUCCCAUCAAACACGUGUACUAUUCCCAAUUAAACCUUAAUUCCAUCUUAGCUAACUAUUCCACCGCUUCAAUUCAUCACUUCUGUGCGUCUCUUAGUCUCCUUUCCCAGAGCCAUUUUAAAGCUGCUCAAAUUCAAACUCUUAAAACAAAAGCAGUGAAUUAAAAAAGCUCUACUUCUAUAAAUAAAAAAAACAUGAAGCAAAAAUGAGUCAAGAACAAGAAAGAAGACCUGAUGAGGCUGCAGGCAUAGAACC
rnacentral:lncRNA from 1 species